rnacentral:rRNA from 1 species
GACGAACGCUGGCGGCGUGCCUAACACAUGCAAGUCGAGCGAUGAAACCCUUCGGGGUGGAUUAGCGGCGGACGGGUGAGUAACACGUGGGUAACCUGCCUCAAAGAGGGGAAUAGCCUCCCGAAAGGGAGAUUAAUACCGCAUAAUAUGUUUUAGUCGCAUGACUGAAACAUCAAAGGAAUUUCUUCGGAAAUUUCACUUUGAGAUGGACCCGCGGCGCAUUAGCUAGUUGGUGAGGUAAAGGCCCACCAAGGCAACGAUGCGUAGCCGACCUGAGAGGGCGAUCGGCCACAUUGGAACUGAGACACGGUCCAGAACUCCUACGGGAGGCAGCAGUGGGGAAUAUUGCGCAAUGGGGGAAACCCUGACCCAGCAACGCCGCGUGAAUGAUGAAGGCCUUCGGGUUGUAAAGUUCUGUCUUCUGGGACGAUAAUGACGGUACCAGAGGAGGAAGCCACGGCUAACUACGUGCCAGCAGCCGCGGUAAUACGUAGGUGGCAAGCGUUGUCCGGAUUUACUGGGCGUAAAGGAUGCGUAGGCGGACAUUUAAGUCAGAUGUGAAAUACCCGAGCUAAACUGGGGUGCUGCAUUUGA